rnacentral:tRNA from 1 species
GGAGCCGUGGCUGAGUGGCUGAAAGCAGCGGUUUGCUAAACCGUUGAAGGGGCAAAACCCCUUCCGUGGGUUCGAAUCCCACCGGCUCCG